GGAAGGUAAAUCUAACCACCUUAUAGAUAGAAAGGGCCUACUGUGCAUAUUUAUGUUUCUCUCGUGAAUGAGCCAUCACCAUCCUCCACCGUUGUCAUUAACCAACAGAGUCUAACUUCACCAUAGAUAAGAAUUUGGAUACAAGAAUUCAUUACAGCUAAAUCAACUUCCACUCCCAUCAAGUACUAUCAUUCCUUUGAUACUACUCUAUUCCUGGGAGGGAUUCAAAUCUAGUGACUUCAUGUCAUGUAUAAUAGAUACUUAUAUCAAAAGCUUUCAUGACGGCAAGUGCACAGUAUAAUGGAUAUGGAAAAGAUGAUUCACACACUUUAGUAAGAUUGUUAGAAAUUCAAUACUAGACGAUGAAUAACUCAUGUAGUUUCUUUCUAGACUAAAUAAAAUUAAUCACCCACACCUAACCUUUUAACAAUAUCCUUGAAAAACUUGGUGUUAAACUACGCCUUAGCGGGUUUGUUUUUGCAGUCACACACGUUGAUGGUGGCAAAGCUACAAUUUGUAAAUAGUAGAUUGCUGAGCCAUGUAGAAAGCCACAAUUGAAAAUAGUGGUUUGAAAUGCUUAUGUUUUAUUUGCACAAAACUUGAUAAAAUUGCAUAUCAUUAAGAAAUG
rnacentral:lncRNA from 1 species